rnacentral:misc_RNA from 1 species
AAAAAAAAAAAAAAAAAGACAAUUCUUGCUUCCCAGUAUAAACAAGUGAUGGGGAGAGGCAUGGAUGCUACAAUGGGAGAAAACUUGAACUGAUAUUGGCAACUAUGCAUUCAUAUUCAUAAAUUCUAUUGCAGACGUCUUCUCACUCUUAUACAAAGCUGACAUGUCAAAUUGCAUAAAAAAAUGGCAUAGGACAAUUACUUGUUGGCUUGUAUACUGAUGUGGGACUUUCCGCGGCUUGACAAUAUACAUUGUAGGGCAGGUCUCCUCCAGACUACUUAAAUUAUCUGACAGCUUAAAGAGACCCCACCACCACCCGUCAACUUUUAUCAUACACACAUAAAACAUCUCCUCUGUUUGGGACAAUUUUUCUGUAAAUAAUAUUUAGCUACAGAGAGUAAAAACAGUAAAUAGAAACAUUGAAAAAAUAAAAGAUGUUGCUAAGAAAAUGCCCUCUUCAAGGAGGUCCGAUUCUCCUUUUAGCCAGAAGUGGUUGAGAUUCAUUAUGGCUAAUCAUACUCCUUGGUUCAGUUCCCGUGGUAAUUGGCAGUUUAGCAGCUCUAGAUAAAGGUACUUCCUCUAUUGUGUUUUAAAGAGAAAAUUUCAAGAAUAUUAAGCUUUGUCAGAGAUAUUUGAAAGUAAGAAAUUAAAAUAAAAAAAUAUGUUUUUUAACCCGCAUUAUUGCUUCUUCCAUUUGAUACCAAAAGAAUAAAACAUAUGGAGAUUGAUAUGUGAAAAAGCUCAUUUGCAUAACUCAAAAUCAUUUCUAUCCUUGAAACAUCUGAGUUCAAAAUUGCACCUUCUUACAAGUGAUAUAUUUAAAUUUAUUAAAAAUUAAACCAAAAAAAUAGAUGUCAAAACUAGAAACUAAUCCAGGUAGGUUGCCUAGCUGUUCAGAUUGGUCUGUUCAUCAUGCCAAAAUAAAGCUAGACUCAAGCCCAAACAUAGGCUUGUUUAUUAAAGGGCAUGUUCUCAAGUAACAACAGGCUCCACGUACGGACUCAGAACUUGGAGAUGGACCUUGAAGAUUUUUAUUUUUCCCCUCAAAGGACCUUGAAGAUUGAAAAGGAGAAACCAGAUGAUGCUGAUAAUGAAAAGAAUUAAAGACAUAAACUAAGGGUGAAAGGCCUAAAUUGGCACUUAAAUUAUAAUCUGAUAGUAAAAUAAACUUCUAACUUUUAUUUACAGUCAAUUGAGUCCUUAAUUUUUAAUUAGAGUCAAUUAAAUCCUGUACAUUCUAAUUUAGUCUAAUUAAACUUAAUUUCAAUCAUGUGGGACCCACAAAACUAAUGAAAUAUUAUUUUCAAUGAUUUAAAAAUAAGAAAAUCUCAACCAAAAUUAAUGAAAAUAAAAAAUAUAAUCCAGAACAAGAUGAAAUACCUAUUCGUUCUCUUCCCCUCUCACUUGCACAUACACAUUUUACUUAUCCUCCCUCAGCUCACUCUCUCUCUCUCUCUGCACAUUCUACUAUUCCCUCUCACGAACCCUCAUCCUUCUAUCUCCUAAAAUCAAACAUUUCAAACAUAUAAACCAAUAUCAAUCAAUUUUACACAAACCAACAAAAUCCAACAAAAAAUUGCACAAACAAAGCAAAGAAAUUCCACUCAAUCCCAUCUUACCUUAGCAAUUUUCCAUAGCAACAAGAAUCACAUAGAAAGAAAGAAAGAAAAAUAACAAAGAAAAUUUCCAUCAUGCAUUUGCUGCUUAUUGAGUGAGCCAACACCUGUUGUUUUGGCAUUCUUCUUUAAAGCUAGCAAUGUAGGCACUUAAUUGGUGACGACAAGAAUCACGAAUAAAAAAAAACAUGAUGUAUUACAAACUAACUCAUGAAGCCACUGACACAAAUUAAAAUUCAAUCAUUGAGAUACAAGCCCAUUGAUUUCCGUUGCACUACCUCAGCAAUCUCAAUCACUUCAUCUAGCAAGAUGUUCUUCAUCUUCUUACUGUCUUUGAAGGGCCAAUUUAAGCUUUAUUAAUGGAUGAAAUAUGGCAGAAGAUAGAGGGUUAUGCUCAUGAUAACAGCAGAGUGGUGGUAGGUCACAAGAGCAUGAAAGUGGAGGUGAGGGGUUGCUGGGUAGUGAUUAAGAGGGGGAGAUUUAGAUUUGGCAUUUGUGAUAGAGAAGGGGAGGUGUUAGAGGCCGAG